rnacentral:rRNA from 1 species
AUUGAACGCUGGCGGAAUGCUUUACACAUGCAAGUCGAACGGUAGAGGGGGCAACCCCUUGAGAGUGGCGAACGGGUGAGUAAUAUAUCGGAACGUGCCCAGUCGUGGGGAUAACGUAGCGAAAGUUACGCUAAUACCGCAUACGAUCUAAGGAUGAAAGCGGGGGAUCGCAAGACCUCGCGCGAUUGGAGCGGCCGAUAUCAGAUUAGGUAGUUGGUGAGGUAAAGGCUCACCAAGCCAACGAUCUGUAGCUGGUCUGAGAGGACGACCAGCCACACUGGAACUGAGACACGGUCCAGACUCCUACGGGAGGCAGCAGUGGGGAAUUUUGGACAAUGGACGCAAGUCUGAUCCAGCCAUUCCGCGUGCAGGAUGAAGGCCCUCGGGUUGUAAACUGCUUUUGUACGGAACGAAAGGUUUGUCUUAAUACGAUGAGCUCAUGACGGUACCGUAAGAAUAAGCACCGGCUAACUACGUGCCAGCAGCCGCG